ensembl:snRNA U7 U7 small nuclear RNA
GAGUGUUAUAUUUCUUUUAUAAUUUGUCUAGCAGAUUUUCUGGAAGACCUC